rnacentral:rRNA from 1 species
CGUUCUCGCCGGAUGUAGGAACCGACCCGGGGACCGCCGGGGCAACCCGGCGCCCCCGAGACGGGGCGAACCACGGUGAAAUGACGGAUCGUCGGCCCCGCGCCGGCGACUCGCCGAAUGAGUUUCUGACCUAUCAACUCGAGACGGCGGGGUAGAGGCCCGCCGCGGUAACGACGGGUAACGGGGAAUCAGGGUUCGAUUCCGGAGAGGGAGCCCGAGAAACGGCUACCACUUCCAAGGAAGGCAGCAGGCGCGCAACUUACCCUAAUCUCGAUUCGAGGAGGUAGUGACAAGAAAUACCGAUGCGGGACCCUACGGGUGCCGCGUUCGGAAUGAGUACGAUUCGAACCACCUAACGAGGAACGAUCGGAGGGCAAGUCUGGUGCCAGCAGCCGCGGUAAUUCCAGC